UGAUCGCACUUGUUUUCAGGAUGCCAAUGGGUAGUGUUCCAGGAAGAUGUCUCCGAGCAGUAGCUACCAACGGAAGAAGAUGAUGGAAUAUUCGGAUCCUUCAUAAAAGUCAUUGUAACUUUUAAUCAAUAUUUAGUUUUAAAAUUCAUAAAUUAUAGCCUAUCAACUUCUAACACCAAUCGGAAUGCAAACCUAAGGGUAGGACAAAAUCAGAAUCUACUGCCUUCAGCCGAAAUCUCCAAUUCUAGAAAUUCUCUUCCCUCUAAUGAAAGGGGAAAGUAGCGGCACAAAAUAGAGGACUGACCUGAUUGUAGCUCCUACUCCUCCCCUUGCUACUAGGAUGCGUCAUUCCUGUCGCCCGUUGCAAAUCUGCUCACCGAC
rnacentral:lncRNA from 1 species